rnacentral:rRNA from 1 species
CAAUAGCGUAUAUUAAAGUUGUUGCAGUUAAAAAGCUCGUAGUUGAAGAUACGAACGCUUACACUAGAACAAAGUUUCCGGUGUCUGCGUUCACUUUUCGCAAAGACGGCCUGGCCCAUUAGUUUGGGUCUUGUUUGAGUUGCGUCAUUUACUGUGAACAAAUUAGGGUGUUUAAAGCAGGCCUACGUUUGAAUACACUAGCAUGGAAUAAUAAGAUAUGAUCUUGGUCGUAUUUUGUUGGUGACUACCAAGAUAAUGAUUGAUAGAAACUGUUGUGGGUAUUCGUAUGAGCAUGUCAGAGGUGAAAUUCUUGGAUUUUGAUCAGACGAACUACUGCGAAAGUAUUUACCAAGGAUGUUUUCAUUAA